rnacentral:rRNA from 1 species
GUUAAGCGACUAAGCGUACACGGUGGAUGCCCUGGCAGUCAGAGGCGAUGAAGGACGUGCUAAUCUGCGAUAAGCGUCGGUAAGGUGAUAUGAACCGUUAUAACCGGCGAUUUCCGAAUGGGGAAACCCAGUGUGUUUCGACACACUAUCAUUAACUGAAUCCAUAGGUUAAUGAGGCGAACCGGGGGAACUGAAACAUCUAAGUACCCCGAGGAAAAGAAAUCAACCGAGAUUCCCCCAGUAGCGGCGAGCGAACGGGGAGCAGCCCAGAGCCUGAAUCAGUGUGUGUGUUAGUGGAAGCGUCUGGAAAGGCGCGCGAUACAGGGUGACAGCCCCGUACACAAAAAUGCACAUGCUGUGAGCUCGAUGAGUAGGGCGGGACACGUGGUAUCCUGUCUGAAUAUGGGGGGACCAUCCUCCAAGGCUAAAUACUCCUGACUGACCGAUAGUGAACCAGUACCGUGAGGGAAAGGCGAAAAGAACCCCGGCGAGGGGAGUGAAAAAGAACCUGAAACCGUGUACGUACAAGCAGUGGGAGCACGCUUAGGCGUGUGACUGCGUACCUUUUGUAUAAUGGGUCAGCGACUUAUAUUCUGUAGCAAGGUUAACCGAAUAGGGGAGCCGAAGGGAAACCGAGUCUUAACUGGGCGUUAAGUUGCAGGGUAUAGACCCGAAACCCGGUGAUCUAGCCAUGGGCAGGUUGAAGGUUGGGUAACACUAACUGGAGGACCGAACCGACUAAUGUUGAAAAAUUAGCGGAUGACUUGUGGCUGGGGGUGAAAGGCCAAUCAAACCGGGAGAUAGCUGGUUCUCCCCGAAAGCUAUUUAGGUAGCGCCUCGUGAAUUCAUCUCCGGGGGUAGAGCACUGUUUCGGCAAGGGGGUCAUCCCGACUUACCAACCCGAUGCAAACUGCGAAUACCGGAGAAUGUUAUCACGGGAGACACACGGCGGGUGCUAACGUCCGUCGUGAAGAGGGAAACAACCCAGACCGCCAGCUAAGGUCCCAAAGUCAUGGUUAAGUGGGAAACGAUGUGGGAAGGCCCAGACAGCCAGGAUGUUGGCUUAGAAGCAGCCAUCAUUUAAAGAAAGCGUAAUAGCUCACUGGUCGAGUCGGCCUGCGCGGAAGAUGUAACGGGGCUAAACCAUGCACCGAAGCUGCGGCAGCGACGCUUAUGCGUUGUUGGGUAGGGGAGCGUUCUGUAAGCCUGUGAAGGUGUACUGUGAGGUAUGCUGGAGGUAUCAGAAGUGCGAAUGCUGACAUAAGUAACGAUAAAGCGGGUGAAAAGCCCGCUCGCCGGAAGACCAAGGGUUCCUGUCCAACGUUAAUCGGGGCAGGGUGAGUCGACCCCUAAGGCGAGGCCGAAAGGCGUAGUCGAUGGGAAACAGGUUAAUAUUCCUGUACUUGGUGUUACUGCGAAGGGGGGACGGAGAAGGCUAUGUUGGCCGGGCGACGGUUGUCCCGGUUUAAGCGUGUAGGCUGGUUUUCCAGGCAAAUCCGGAAAAUCAAGGCUGAGGCGUGAUGACGAGGCACUACGGUGCUGAAGCAACAAAUGCCCUGCUUCCAGGAAAAGCCUCUAAGCAUCAGGUAACAUCAAAUCGUACCCCAAACCGACACAGGUGGUCAGGUAGAGAAUACCAAGGCGCUUGAGAGAACUCGGGUGAAGGAACUAGGCAAAAUGGUGCCGUAACUUCGGGAGAAGG